UACGAAGGGUGCAAGCGUUACUCGGAAUUACUGGGCGUAAAGCGUGCGCAGGCGGUUUGCUAAGACAGGUGUGAAAUCCCCGGGCUUAACCUGGGAACUGCGCUUGUAACUGGCAAGCUAGAGUGUGGCAGAGGGGGGUGGAAUUCCACGUGUAGCAGUGAAAUGCGUAGAGAUGUGGAGGAACACCGAUGGCGAAGGCAGCCCCCUGGGCUAACACUGACGCUCAUGCACGAAAGCGUGGGGAGCAAACAGG
rnacentral:rRNA from 1 species